rnacentral:rRNA from 1 species
AACGAACGUUAGCGGCGCGCUUAACACAUGCAAGUCGAGCGAGAAAGGGGCAACCCCGGUAAAGCGGCGCACGGGUGAGUAACACGUAGGUAAUCUACCCUCGGGUGGAGGAUAACUUUCCGAAAGGAAGGCUAAUACUGCAUGAGACCACGACCUCGAAAGGGGAUGGGGUCAAAGCCGGCCUCUGUACACAAGCUGGCGCCUGAGGAUGAGCCUGCGGCCCAUCAGCUAGUUGGUAGGGUAAUGGCCUACCAAGGCGAAGACGGGUAGCUGGUCUGAGAGGAUGAUCAGCCACACUGGAACUGAGACACGGUCCAGACUCCUACGGGGGGCAGCAGUGGGGAAUAUUGCGCAAUGGGCGAAAGCCUGACGCAGCCACGCCGCGUGAGCGAUGAAGGCCUGGUCGUAAAGCUCUGUGGGAGGAGAAGAAUAAAGACCUGUGAAGAGCAGGCCUUGACGGUAGUCUCCUUAGCAAGACACCGGCGUAACUACCGU